UACAGAGGGGGCGAGCGUUGUUCGGAAUUACUGGGCGUAAAGGGCGCGUAGGCGGCCUUCUAAGUCGAACGUGAAAUCCCCGGGCUCAACCCGGGAACUGCGUCCGAUACUGGGAGGCUUGAAUUCGGGAGAGGAUGGUGGAAUCCCCAGUGUAGAGGUGAAAUUCGUAGAUAUUGGGAAGAACACCGAUGGCGAAGGCAGCCAUCUGGACCGACACUGACGCUGAGGCGCGAAGGCCAGGGGAGCAAACGGG
rnacentral:rRNA from 1 species